rnacentral:rRNA from 1 species
AGAAUCAACGCUGGCGGCGUGCCUAACACAUGCAAGUCGAACGAGAAAGUGGAGCAAUCCAUGAGUAAAGUGGCGCACGGGUGAGUAACACGUGACUAACCUACCCUUGAGUGGGGGAUAACCUAGGGAACCUGGGCUAAUACCGCAUAAUACCUUCGGGUCAAAGGAGCAAUUCGCUUAAGGAGGGGGUCGCGGCCGAUUAGUUAGUUGGCGGGGUAAUGGCCCACCAAGACUGUGAUCGGUACU